GGCAGUCCUUUUUAAAGACAAUAAAGAACUGUAAUAGAUGGAAAGAAGAAUCCUGGAGUCCAAUCGAACGAACGAGAUACGGAUCAAUAGGAGUAAUAAUCAUUGUAUCGAAUAUGUAAAUACAUAGGAUAGUGAAUUAUGGAGUAGAGUUCCGCAAUUGUAUUACAACAGGGUUGUAAAUGAAUAAAUAGAGUAUAGAUAUUUAUUAUUUGGAUUGUACUUUGGAAAUAUUUGUGAAAUAAAUUAUUGGGCAUGAAUCCACAAUUGUGAAUA